rnacentral:misc_RNA from 1 species
GAUGAAGAACGUAGCAAAAUGCGAUAAGUAAUGUGAAUUGCAGAAUUCAGAGAAUCAUCGAAUCUUUGAACGCACAUUGCGCCCGCUGGUAUUCCGGCGGGCAUGCCUGUUCGAGCGUCAUUUCGACCCUCAAGCCCCCGGGUUUGGUGUUGGGGAUCGGCUCUGCCCUUCUGGGCGGUGCCGCCCCCGAAAUACAUUGGCGGUCUCGCUGCAGCCUCCAUUGCGUAGUAGCUAACACCUCGCAACUGGAACGCGGCGCGGCCAUGCCGUAAAACCCCAACUUCUGAAUGUUGACCUCGGAUCAGGUAGGAAUACCCGCUGAACUUAAGCAUAUCAAUAAGCGGAGGA